AGACGUCCAAUCUCUUUGGGACGCCUCUUCAGCGCUGUCUUCCCUGCCUCUGCCUUUAGGACGAGUCUCAAACACCAACAAACGCAAGGCACGUCCCCCCUCUCAGGUCAGCUGCGAAGGCGUGGGAGCAAGAGAGAGCCUCUCCCUCCUUCUACUUAGAGUUUUUGUUUGUUUGUUUGUUUGUUUGUUUCAAAUAUUAAUGGACGAUAAAACAACACGGAUUUGUCACCUCCUAGCGAAGAGGAAGCCACCGCCACCACACCCCUCAAGCAUGCCUGGGCACUCCUGGGGACAAUCGGACGUGGCAGGAGUUGGCAUGCCCAAGAUGAAGCUGGGAAGGAUGACCCAGAGUGGAAGGCGUGGGCUGGGGCUCCAGGUCUCAGCUCUCGCCAGCGUCGGACCACACAGCUUUGCCAGCUUUGCACCUUGCCUUUCCUUCUUGUGAGGCAUCUGGGACCGUCCUAUCAAGGCGCUUCAAAGGUGGAAGGACAGAGUGCUGGGGACAAGAACGUACCAGGCGCCCAGAAGAUUCCACUAGCGCGGCCAAACACUAAGACCAGGUUUCCUCCCUGCGUGGUGGUCGUUGGUUGUGCACGGGCUACGCACGAAGACUGAAUUCCUGAGAAAUGGAAACUGCAGGAGAAAAAUCAAAUAAACUUAGAGGCCUGUGAAGCUCUCCCUCUUGUCGCUCUGGGACCGCUCUAAGCUGAGCUACAUCUCAGAUACCUUCUCCCCCUGGAGGAUGGGCCUUUCUCAGGCACGAAGUGCGUGUGCCCCACUGGGCUCUUGCCCACAAGAGCAGUCUGAACCCUGGAGAGGCUGACACCGAGGUGUCUUGAAGGAAGCAGGCACACUCUCAUGCUUCCCCACCUAGGGUUUCGCCUUUCUUCUAAUAUUUAGGAUUCCCAGUGAAGGGUACUCCACACACACCCUCUGCCUACCCCUAAUCCCACCCCAUUGUGUCUGAUCCCACAAUUACUCCCAGGGUAUCUAUACUCACAGCUUUUGCGCUCAAAGAACAUUGUCGUCUGCAGGGAACGGGUGGAGCCCUUCUCAGAAGCUCCCGGGGGCGAGUCCAUUUUAAGAAUGAGUUGAAGUAGGAAAGAAAACACAGAUGCUGUCUUUGCAUUCGACAUUCUAUCACCAGCAAGAGAAUAUGUAACUCCUGUUCUUUCCUUCAUUAUUCCAUGAAUUACCUUUUUUCUCUAGGGAUCUACCAGUUGGUGAUUUAGGGCUUUUAAAUAUUAUGCUUGUUAUGUAUUUAACAAAAUGCAAUAUGUCUACUGGUGGCAUUGUUUCCUUGGGAAAUUAGAAAAGUAGAAGCUACAUACUCUAGUUCCUAGGUGGUCUCUGGAAAGUUGGCCUCAUGCUGGUUGGCUAAAUAAUAAGUGUUUAGGAUUUGAAAGGAAGAAAGAGAGCUGAAGUCCUGGUGACAGAGUUUGUGAGAAACAGAAGAUGUAACACUCUGGCAUUUGUUGAGGAGAUGAGGAAGAACUUUUGAAAAAUAAGCUAUUCUAUUCAGUUUUGUGCAAAUUUAUUGCAGUUGCUUCAUAGAGGAAGAAUAAUGUUGAGAAUGGAAUAAUUGCAAAUGCUAGUGAUGAAAUCUAAAGGAAACCUCUACUCAUAGUUAACUGAAAGUAUUUUUGUUGUUGUUGUUUAAAUACUUAUCUCAUUGCUUUCUUUCCUUUGCAGAAUUAUUUUCCUAUAAUAGUUUCCAUUAGGUGUCAGUCUGAACUGGUUCUUACUUAAGUUAGGGGUGAAAAUGUUCCAUCAUCACACCUUUUAAGAUAAGAAAGUGGGAAAAAUUAAAACUUUAUUAAGUUGAAAUUACUGGAGUUAAUUUUUAUUGUUAAAGACAGCUUUUUUAUUCCCAGAAAAAGUAAUUUUAAAUUAUGUCACCACUAGUCAAUGACUGCUUUUGCCCUGUCACUGUCCAUAGCCAUGAUUAAAGAAGUACAAAAUGCUUGUUUGUGCAUUUCAUGCUAGAUCCAAGUAGUGUUAAGUAGUCAUAAUUUUUGGAUGGCUUUUCAAUUGAUGUCCUAAGACUAGAAGGGUAAGCAGCCUUUUCUAAUAUUUCUUUUGCUUUACAAAGGUGAUAGAAAUUUUUCCUGAAAAAAGGAACAUGGAUUCAGCUUAAGCUGUUCAUUUGACAAUACUGAGGGCACAGUAAAGGAGGAGGGAGACAAAUUGUGAAAAUUACUUAUGUCCACUAGUUUUACUUUAAUAAAUCCUGCUUAAAUACUCAGAAUUUAUGAAUACAAUUUAUGAUAUAUAAGUGGGAUAUUUUAGGUCGCCCAUUUAAAUUUAUAUAAUGUCUAUAAAUGGUCAAUUUUAUACUAUAAUAUUCAUUAAUAAGCAUAAGAAACAUCAUCUUGAUUGGUCAUUUGCUACUGAGUCCCAAGUAAGUAGCUUGAUAGAAACUGCAUUUUUCAGAAAAUUUGCUUAUUUUAUUCUUUGUAUUUGUGAAUUCUGUUCUGAUGUUGUUGCUUGAAUAAAAUUGUGGGGAGUGGUGAUGGUAUUCGUGGUUAAAGAUCCAUAGAGCAUUAUGACAACCCCAUGAACUUUCCCUGAGGCCAUUGUGAGCCCUAGAAUGAUGUGGUUCUUGGUGUCAGAGCAAUGCCAAUCUAGAACCAGAACAGAGGUCCCAGUGAAAGUCCAAGCAAAGGCAAGCAACGAUGAAGUAGCAUUUUGAUGGAAGGAAUAUUCCAAAAACCCUAUUAUCAAUUUUUGUCUUAUUAUAUUCCACAUUAGUCAUGAGAAAUUUUCAAAUUUAAAAAUAGACAACAAAAUUAGAGAUGAUGGGUAUAUUGGGAAACAUUUUUGUGUUUUAUGUAAGACAGAGGAGAAGUGCUAAGGACAUAGAAGGAAAGACAGCAUAAGGCCAUCACAGUUGUUCACCAUCUUGUCAAUAUGUACAGGUGCAGCUACCAUUGUAUCACGGAAAUGACAGAAUGAUGUUCUUACUGUGUUGGAAAGUAGUGUAUUCUGCAUGGGAGACUUACUGUUUAAAAGUAAAUUUCUUUUGGAUAUAUUUUCCGUAAGAAGAAAAAAUAUAAUAAUGACAUCAGAAUAUUUAAAGACUUUUAAAUCAUUUAGCUAUUGAAUUUAGUUAUUGAUAGCUGUACAGCUAUAUACACAAAUGGUAAGUAGAGUUUAAGCAAAUAGCUUUGUAGUACAAUUUGUUUUUUAAAUGUUUUCAGAUUUUUAUCUUAGUGCUUAUACUUUAAAUCUUGACUUACAAGUCUUGCAUUUAAGUCUAGAAAACAUUUUGCAUGAUUGUAUAAAAUAAACAUUUUAGUUGAGGAAACACUGCAGUUCAUCCAAAAAACAUAAGCUAAAAAGAUAUAAUAUUUUAAAUUUCUUGAAAUGUGUUUGUUACCCAGUAAUUAGUUGAGUUUGUUGAGUGCAGCCUAACAAUAAAAUCAGUGUAUCUGUAUGUUUGUAUUGUUGACCAGCUUAAAAAUUUAUUACCAACUGUAUCUUGUGAGUUCUGGGUUCUGUUACAUCCUGGCUAAUAAUAAUGUGAGCUAAGCAAGGCAGUCUGAUCUCCAACACAAUUAAAAUAUUAUAAUACAUAUGCAAGGGUAAAGACAACACUUCAUUUGCUUUAUUUGUGGAAAAGCCCUUUGAGACUCAUAGUAUUUGAAAAUAUAUAUAUAUAUAGUAGAUCAAACUAGAACCAAAUGUUAAAAACCUACGAGUUCUAAAACAUGCAGUUCAAAGAUUUUAAAUAAGGGUUAUUGCCUUUAUUAAUUUAAAACCAAUACUGAAUCUCAUUCAGUUAAAUUACAAACUAAAAAAGACAUAUUGCUGGAAUCUAUUAAUACUAUGUUUCCAGUUCAAAUGAAAUUUGUACUAUAAUAUGCUUUUUAAAAAGUUGACAAAUUAUAUUACAAUAGUGACAUAAUUGCAUAAUUUGAAAGUAGGGUCUAUUUGUAAACUUGAAUGAAAUAUGUGCUUUUUGGAAACACUUUUUCUGAAAAGAUUAUUUUUAUAAAAAUGAUACAUUUUAAUUGGAAAGUUGAUAUUUCUUGCAAUUUUGUUUUUAAAAUUUGUAUUCAAUACAUGAGUGAGUAUUAAUUGAAGCCUAUUUUUGUCUCUCUAAGCUAGUGUAGUCAAUUUCAAUAACUGUUUCAAAGAAGUCUCAAGAUAAACUAAAAAUUACUCAUUUAAAAUAGUUUUUUAUAUAUCUGCCAAAUAGUCCAUUAGUUUUUGGAUUCCAAGAAGAAUGAAUGAAUGAAUGAAUGAAUGAAGGUCAUGCCUACUAUUCUGUCAGAAGCAGAUAUAAGAAAAAGACCUUUUCCUUUGUAAUAGAAAUAUAUCAUGAUAAGACUUCCAAAUAUCCUGGAUUGUUUUACAGAUAACUACACAGGAAUUAAAGUUAUAGAAUGAUUACUUUAUGGAUCCAGUUUCAUGUUUUUUUUUCCAUAACUGUUAUUUAUAUAGGCUUUGGUGUUUACUGAGACAAAGCAAAUUUGAGAAUUGAGGCUCUUACACGGAGAAAUCUCAAAUUUCAUUUUGUCCCUCAAUUACAUGAUACUUAAGGAGUGAGGUAUAUCCUGUGGUAGAAAGAACUUUGGAAUAAGACUAGAAAAUCUGUUUUCGAGUACAGAUUCUGUUGUGAACUAUGACAAUGGACCUAUCACACAGCUUGCCUGGUCUUCACUUGUCUCAUCCAUGAGAAGGGCUAGAUUUAGAUUCGCUUAAGGCCUUUUUACCUCUUUAGGAUUCCAUUUCAAAGAAAGCCUUUUUUUUUUUUUGUAUGAAUUCUACACUUCAUUUCAUGUAAAGAUGGUGGGCCAACUGAUAUCACAACUAAGACAGAAGCUUUUAAAAAGUAUUCACCAACAUUUUGUCUUAGUAUUAAAUAAUAAAAUGGUCCUUAAGAUUUUUACUUAAAUUCUUAAAGCAUGAAACACAUGGAAAUAUUUGUUGCUUUUUCAUGCUUCAUUUUUUAUUUGAAGUUUUAGUAGGGAAAAAAGCCCCAAAAGAAUGCUUUACAGAUUCAUUCUAAUGUGUUAGCAUGGGAGUACACGUAUAUGUACAUCUGUAUAAUAAAUUUGAAGCUACUCAAACCGCAGAUCUAUCUUCAUAAGCAUUUUAGCCUAAUGAGGCCAAAUCACAAACAACUCCAUUCAAAGUUGAUGUAUAUGAUUGUAGUGGAUAAAGAAUGAACAUGAACACUUGGCCUCUAAAAAUGUUUACUCCUUGUGUAAAUGUUUAUGCUAUUAAAUUCAAUUACAAUAUUUGGAACGGCAUGAAAAUUACUGGUUUUUUUUUCCAUUCUGUUAAAAGGACCAAUAAUUGUCGAGGAUAUUUAAUUCUUCUAAAAUGGUUAAUCUUUUAAAAUACCUAGUCCAGUGUUUGGCACAUAGUAGGUGCUCAAAAUAUUUAUGAAUUUUGUGAAAGCAGUGAUAUCCUUUUGGGGCAUACGUGAAUAUAAAUUUUACAUUUUUUCAUAAUUAUUUAAAGUCACUAUUAUAUAAAAUGAUUGUUAUACAGCAUAUAUUUGUUUAAUUUAAUGUUAACAUAAAAUUUAAUUCUUUAAUUGUUUACUAAUAGUGCAGUUAUUCUUUGCCAAGAAGGAAAAUACAUUCUCUCUGAUUAUUUGAUAUAACUUUUAAAUAACGGAAAAAUCCAUGGGAACAUUGCUUUCAAGCUGAUAUUCUUUUUGAAACUCCAAGAAUCUGUUCAAUCUACUAUUGAAAUAGAAAAUUUUAGUCCAUGUGAAUGUUACCUAAUGUAUUUAUUUAAUAUUAAAUGUAUAAAUAUUUGUAAGAAUUUAUAAAGUUUUAAGAAGUAAUCAAUAGAAAUGCACAUUGUGCAAUAUAAUAAUUACUAUGAUAGGCAUACUUUCAAAGCUAAAGAUCUGUGUAAGUUUUUUAGUUUUAAAAAAUUAUUUACUAGGAAAACAGACUAAGUUACAAUUUUAUUUGAAAGGUGUGACUCUCUGGGAGGUUCAAUUUAUAGUAAAUAUAAAUUGACUUUUUGAUCACAAAAUAAUACACCCAUCCUCUAAAAAUUAAAAUAAUAUGGUUUAUCAGCUAUUGCUUUAUUCAGAUAGUUUACAUACUAUCCAUUCUCAGUUUAAUUAUGGGUAUAAAACAUUAUGUCCAUUGAAAACUUUGACUCUGAUUUGUGUGCUAAAUGGAAGCAAGCAUAAAAAGAAUAGAGAUUUAAGGAGGAAAAAUUAAUUAAAAAAUAAAAACUUUGAGAAUAAGUUCAAUAAAAAUUCUACAAAUCUUUCAAAAGUAAUUGCCUUCAAAUAUAUAUCUGGGGGUAGGAGUGUGAGGUUUGGAAGCCAUUUAUUCACACUUUUAUUAAAAUAUCUCAUGUUCCUUUUUGUUGUUGGAUGUAGUUGUCCAUAAAACAGCUUUGAAAUUGUUUUAAUAUUAUAUAUUAGAACAGAGUCAAAAUAAGGAGAUUCUUUAUCACAAACAAGCAGGUUUUUGUUAGUUGUGAAUGCUAUGUUUAUUAAAAAUAGUGAGUGACAUUAAACUUUUGAGGCGGUUUCACAUUUACAUUUGGUGAUUUGUGUAGAUAACAAUUGAAUUUGACAAGAGAAAAGGGACAAUGAUAGCAAGUAACAAUGUUAAUGAUGUGGACUGGAGUGAAGAAUGUGCAGAUUUUGGUGAUGUAUUAAAGUAACAAUAAUGAAAUUCCUGGUGGCUGGGACCAGUACACCUUGAAAAAAUAUAAAUCUUAGGAAACAUUAGAAGAGGUCUUGUUCUUUAUAUGGUACCGUUUACCCUGUUGUGAUGGGUAGUGUUCAAUAUUGAUUGUAUAUAGUUUAUCUGUGUAGAAGGAUUCUUUCACAGUAUGAGUGACAAGUGUAUCCCAGAGUUCUUGCUUUCAAAGUCAUGCUCUGAUACAGAAAUUUGAAUCAAUUAAAAUAGCAAUAAACUCUGAAUAAAGUAAGCCUAGCUUAUCUGUAGAAAAUUGAGAAAGGCAAGAAAUCUGGAUGUUUCUCAAAUAAAAGAAAGAACAUCAGUCUGAAAAGACAGACUUCUGAAAAUUGAGCCUAGGGGGAUAUGGCUUAAAAGAGACAGCCUUUUUAACAGUUUUUCUAUUAGAAAACAUAUGUGUGAUACUUGAAUUUAUGCUCUAGAAGUAAAGUAACCUAGGAGGAUUUGUUAAGACAGUAUUUCCUGAUAUAAAAUACUGAUACCAAGAGUUUAGUUUUUCCUAUUCACUUAAUUGAUUUAGAUUUUAGAGAGGAAAUCUAUUUGUUAGUUAACCAUGAUAAAGAUAGAGAAGAUUGACACAUUUGUCCUUGUCUAACUUGGCCUUUAUUUCCAAAUACGUAACAUUUCCACCUGAUCAUUGGUUUGCCUUUAAUAUGACUAUUUUCCAUUCCUAUAACCACAUGGAAUACAAAAUUUCAAAAGUCUUUGAUAAGCUCAUAGUAAACUCAUAUGAUAGUUAGUUGUCAUUAUAAAUUUCUAUCUCAGAUCUAGUUCUUUGGUAUGUAAUACAAUUCCCAUGUUUCCCAUAUGAAGUCCUCACAACACAGAGAAUCCAAAUAACUUCUCCAUGGACACCCAGAUAAUAUUUGGAACCCAUUUUCUAAGUCCUUGUUGGGUGUUUUCUUUCUAAUACAUCACACUAAAACUUCACUAAAUGUUGAAGUUUUUCUCACAUUACUCUUCCUAUUAUCUGAGAAUAAUUCUUAUAUUUUUCAUACUAUUCAGUGAUAUUUUACCCAAGUAAUCUAAACUUUUCAAAAAUUCUUAUAUUGUAUAUAUAGAUGUGAAUGUAUCAACAGAUUCCAAAGGUCUCUAGUGUGCUUGUACUAAUGAUUUUUUAAAUCUUGGAAAAUGGUAUAGGCUAUCUUAAUGUAGAAACAGAAGAUGAAUCAUAAUUAAAGGAAUAAUUUGACCUUUUACCCUAGUUGAAAAUAUUUCAGUAAAACAAGGGAAAUGUUAAUCACAAUUACAUCAACUCAGUUUAAUAAGCUUCCAAAUGCAAAUGUUGACUAAAAGAUUGGAUUCAAAAACAUUUGUAAUGCAGUGUAUUCAAUGAAAAAUUUAAAGUGACAUUGUUAAAUAAUAGUGACCCCAUGAUGUUCUCAUACCAAAUAACAGAAAUAAAAUCACAUUUUAAUAUACAAUUUAAAAUUAUAUUUACUUUUACUUCACUUUUUAAAUGUUCAAAGAUAUCUUGUUAAAUAAACAGGGACAGAUCAGCUCUUGGAUUAGGGCAGAAUCAAAGUAAAAUUCUCAAUUUUGCAAUUGAACCCUGUUCACUUCUGUUGUGCUAUUUAUGAAAAUUGCAUUGUGGUCUGCCACUGCCACAUCUGGGUUACUUGCAAUGCUAACAAUUUAGGGGUUUGAGAAGGUGAUUUUGCACUGUGGGUUCAACCAACUUAUCAAUCGUGAAGCAUGCUCCUCGUACAUAUGUUGCUUAACAACAAGGAUACAUUCUGAGAAACACAUCCUUAGGCAAUUUUGGCAUUGUAGUAACAACCUAGAAUGUACUUACAGAAACCUAUAUGGUAUAGCCUACUAUACACCUAGACUGUAUGGCAGCCUACUGCUCUUAGGCUGGAAACCUGUACAGCCACAUGUUACUAUACUGAAUAAUGUAGCCCAUUGUAACACAAUGGUAAGUAUUUGUGAAUCUAAACACUCUAAAUAUAGAAAAGGUAUAGUAGGAAUACAGUAUUACAAGUUUAUGGGAUCACCAUUGUAUAUCUAGCCUGUCAUUGAUACAUACACCAUUAUGUGCCAUAUGACUACCAAAUCAUUCCUCUAUCAUAGCAUUGAGGGUUCACUAGAAAAAUGGUGUAACUAUCUUUGUUUUAAAUUCAUCAAGAUAGAAAGUUGAUAUCCUUUUGACCAUUUAAUCCCAUUUAAUAGGUUUUCCUAUUUUAUUAAUUAUAAACAAUAACUGUAAAUAACUAUGUUCAUUCUCUUUCUAAAGUUUUUUAAAAAGGUUGUAGAUAUAAUCCCAAGAUAGGUAGGUAGAUAGACAGACAGACUAACUUUUUAAAAUCUAUUGUCUUGCUCAACUGAAAAUAAUCCAGUGGAAAAAUUGGCACUGAGAAGCCACACCUAAAAUAAUCAAUAUUUUGUCCAAAGAAAAAUAUUUUAUGGAUUCACAUAAUUUGGCCAAGAACAAAAUGUUUUAAAUUGUGUAAAGGAUAGAUAUUAAUCCUCAUACCAGCUAAUUAAGCUUCUUCUGUACAACAUACAGUUUUAAGUUAACAGUAAUUAAUAUAGCCAGCUUGGAACCUCAGGAAGCUAAAGCCAGCAAGUGCUUUUUGGUUCACUCGAGAGGAUGCGGUUUGAUUGCUGGCGCCAGUAAACAGGUUGGGAAUUGUCAACAUUGUAAUUAGCAGCAAGUUUCUGGAUUCUCUGCCUGCCAGACUAGUGGGCUGAUGCUUGGAACAGUUGCCCCAGUGGGGAGAGUGAAAAACAAAGGAAGGGAAUUUGAGCAACCUUGGUAGGCUCUGCCAGCAUAUGCCACUGGACCAAUGUUUUUCUUGACAAAGUUCUAUUUUAAGACAUCUAGCAGUGGUUUCCACAAAAUAUGAAACUCACCAUAGCAACCAAAAUGGCAAGCGUCUCUAGGAACCUUUCCUUGAUUGGGUAUCAGGUCAAACUGUGUUCAGAGUGAUAUUGCCUUAUGUGCAGUAUGCUCUGUACCGUGCACAAUGUGGUUAUUAACAGUAUGAUUAAAAGGGUUAAAAUCUGUUUUGGCAGCAAUCCUUAAAUAGUCUGCCUCUGCCAAAAAGCCUUCAAAGAAUAAGGUUAUGCAAACCUUAUUAACCCUUCGUGUAGUACAAAUGGAAAGGAAAUGUGAACCUGAAUACCACCGAGCAUCCAAUCUUCACUACUUACUUACAUGAUCAUUUCAAUCUAGUUUUCUUAAUUCCAAACCAUGUGAUUGUUAUGAUCAAAGGUUGUCAUAGAUUUUAAACCCAAACCGUAUUUGCAGUGGCUGUAAGAUGAGGACUACAUUAGUAAAGUUUAUAAGUAAUUUAUAACCCAACUGAACAAAAAUUAGACUAUCUUUUGAAACCUGCUUAAUAAAAGUUCAUGUUAUAUAUGUAUAGACACACAUAUAUGUAAAAUUUCUCUAUCUUAGAAUAUUUUAUCUUAUCUAAAAUAAACAACAUGCAUACUCUGAGUAGUCACAGGAUAAAUACUAACCCACCUACCUUGUGGCAAAAGCACGAUAACAAAUCCUUUGGCCUUUUCUUUCUUUUUUCUUUUUUUAAAAAAAAAAAGCAGCUCUGUAGUAAAUUUAUUUUUCUUUCCAGUGAAAAAAAGGUCAAGGUUGCUGAGCAUUGCUAAAAUACACAUACUAAUUUCUCCCAAAUAAGUGAUUGGAGGCAUAUCACAGAUAUUCUUACUGUCACUAUCUUUGCCAAAAUGUGAGGAGGAGUUUCAAAAAGAUAAACAGCAUACAGAGAGACAAACAAAAUAGCUUUCUUUACUGUUUAAAAAAAGUCCUCAAAUGGAUCAACGUGCUAUAUUAAGCAAUUGCCAAGUGGCAAUUUCUGCAGGUGGAUUAUCAGAAGUGCACAAAAAUGGCUGUGUAGAUCUGGCACCCAGGUGUCUGGUGUAGCAUUUAGCGGACUCUUUUGUGGGGAGAAGGAUUACUCAUUUGUUGGAGAGAGUUCAGUUCUCUAAUCCUCCUCCACAACAGAAUCCAUGUUGGAGUGAACAAGCAACACGAUUCUUAUCCACUCUCUCUAGACUCUGAGGAAUGCUCCACAAUUAUUUAUUAUUUUCACUGGAAUUAGAUGCCUACAGGUGGCCCCAUAAUGUGCCUCCAGGCAUACAACCUGCUGUAAAUUUUUAAGUUACAUUAACUCAGCAGUAUGUUGUCUUAUAAUGACAGUUCAUUCAGUCUAUGGGGAAAGGAAAGGAAGCAGAAAGGCAGUAUUUCGUGUUAAGCAUUAUUACAGCUCUUUCCCCGUUCUUUCUUUGAAGUUAGUAAAGGAUAUUUGGCAGAAGCAACACUCCUGGUGUUUUGGUGUGGGCUGUGUCUCCUGAUAGAUUCAGAAAGGAGGUCACAGACUCCAGGCCUCUGUAUCAUAUCCCAGGGACAGAUUUGUUUAUGGGGUGUCAGUAUUAAAAACAGGCAGAGCAGUAGGACUUUUUCUUUUUUUGUUCUUUUUUUUCUCUUAUUAUUUCCCCUUUUUUGCCUCCCUUUCUCCCUUCCUUUCUUCUCUUCUCUUUUCUUUCUUUCUUUCUUUUUUUCUUUCUUUCUUUCUUUCUUUCUUUCUUUCUUUCUUUCUUUCUUUCUUUCUUUCUUUCUUUCUUUCUUUCUGAGUCUCUGAAUGACUUCUAUUACUCAAGUGUUUUGUCAUUAGUGGUCUUUCAUAUUAUAUUAGGAAAAAAUUAGUUUAGUUUUAUCGAGACAUUUGGGCUUAUGAUGCUGUUGCAAUUUCACCCCUGUCACAUAUCCUAUAUUCUGCAAUUGUUUUUUCCUGGGUGUUUGGGUUACCGGUCAGUGAGAGAAGGAGGGAACUGCUUCAUAGCUUUUUGGUCAUUGAGUUUUAUGCCUAUCCUUUCUUUGUAAUGGUGCAGUUGUCACUGAAUGGAUGCAGUUAAUUCCCUCGUAUGUUUUUGGAUACAAUUCUCAGAGCUGAUGAAAAAACAAAGAUAAUAUCUAAAUUAAUAUACUUUAGGAGUAGAAAUUAGUAGAAACAUUUUUAGGGGCAAUAUACAAGUCGAUUUAAGCCUCAGAAGUCCUAGUACUGGGUUAUAAAGCUCCUUCUUACAGCCAUAACAGAGUAAAAUUUGUCUCCCACCAUUCUAUUCUCAUUAAACCUAUAGCUUAUAUUACAAGUAACAAUGAUGAUGUGCAUAUUUUAAAAAUAUAUUUUAUGUGUACAAAGUCAUAUCUAAAUUAUUAAAAAGUACACAAUAAAACUUGUUUUAGUGUUAAAACAUUUUUAUUAAAAUUCCUGUAUCAUAGACGUGGGCAAACUUAGUAGCAUAAGGCCAGUUGGACACUUGUGAAGUUAUCUGCCUUAAUAUACAAACACCUACACUAGCCCAUCUUUUAUUUUAUAGCAAGGGAUGAACUUGCUGAGAAAAAGCAACUUGUAUAUUCAAAAGAACUAGGAUGUCUUUCAGAGUAAAUCAUUAAAUAUCCAUUAUGCAUGUACUAUUCAUGAGGUUUGUGUCCAGGUCUGUCAACAUUUCUUAAGUACCUACUAUGCAACUGGUAUUCUUCUAACUGCUGGGGCUACUGAGGAAUAAUUAACAGACCUUGCCCUUGAAGCAUCCAUGAUGUACGGGACCUCUUACAAUUCAGGCUGUUGGAGACUUGGUGGGGAAGUCAAAGGAAUGUAAAGCAGCAUCCUCCUUUCAAGGAGCAGACUAGGAUGUUGUUAAUAUUAAAUAUUAAACUGUAUGAAAGUGGUUGUUUCUACAAGCCCUUACUGUUGUCUCUUCACCAGAACAUACUUACAUGUCACAGAUGUAGUAAUAAGUUCUUUCUAGAAGUAGAUUUGCCUUCUCUUUUUUCCUUUAAAGUAUGGAAAGUCUUUCAGAACUGAGUAGACUAAGGAAGCACCAGUUAGGAAAAGGAAAACAUACUCACUUUUUCACAUCAAAGCAAUAGUUACUGUAUAACCAAUUAUAAGUUAUAUAAUACCAUUUAUAAUGAAACAUGAUUAUAUUAUCCCAGGACAAAUUAUUCGUGUAUCCAUAGUUAUCAGAAAAUAUGUUUUAGUGAUUAUAAAAUGAUAGUGCUUGCAUGUAAUUCCCAAAUUCAUUAAUAUUUGAUUCCAGAGUCAAUAAGUGUCUUUUGAGAAUGUGAUGAUAGGCUUUAUAAAAGAAAGUGCUGAACGCAUUAUGCUGUACUUCAGAAAGUGGUUCUCAAAAUGGGGCCUUCUUAGCAGUAGCCUGAGUGUCACCUGGGAACUUGUUAAAAAUGCCUGUUCUCAGACCACAUAACAGGCCCACUGAAUAAAAACUGUGAACCCUAAUCUGAGUCUCAACAAGCCCAAUUCUGAUGCCUGCUAGAAUUUGAGAACCACUGCUUUCUAUUGAUUUUUUUAAAAUGACAAUUAAAGUCAGGUUCUAUGCAACACUGAUCCAGUGCUGACCCAUUUUAGGCUCUCUUGUAGAUUUAAAGUUACAAGUUAUUAUUAUUAAUUAAACCAGAUAUCUUAAAUUAAAAAUUAUCACUUUACUUACCUGGUAAAUUCUACAUUUGGGAAAUAUUUUAAGCCCCUAUUUUGAGUUCUAUUUAUGUAAAACUUACAUAGUAUUCUUAUUAGUGUUAUAUAAUGCUCACAUUGCUAUCUUUAUAAUUAUAACAUUAGAUUGAAUUUUUCCAGGACUUAAACCAUUCUUUUAUUUAAUUUAUUAUUAUUUUUGUAAUUCCAGUAGCUGUCCCAAUUUUUUACUCUGGUAUUUAAUUAUAUCCCAGUUUACAAUCUAGGAGAAUCAGCUUAAUUUUAUAAAAGGCAUACAAUAUUGAAUAAGACCUUUAGAUCAUUUGUGUGUGUGUGUGUGUGUGUGUGUGUGUGUGUGUGUGUGUAUGUGUUAUUGUCUCAUGGAUUAUUAUUAAAGUUUUCUCAUUCAUCUAUGACACAAAUAAUUUUUAAAUUCCCGUGGAAGGGAAUUGCCCUGACAAAACUAUUUGAGCACUUAUACAAUGUUCUAGUAUUACAGUAGCAUAAAAUAAGUUUCCUAAUAUCUGUAUUGGAACUGUAUUUAAUAAAAAUUUACUUAGAACAUAGGUGAUUAUAUAAUAGUAAAAAUGAAUGUUACUGGUUAAGCAAUUAGAUUAUAUGGGUUCUCAUUAUACCAACUGGAAAUUGUCUUACAAAACUAUAAUAUGUUCUUACUUCAAACCACAGCUUUUUAUUGAAGCUUUCAUAAAAACAUUAGAAAUUCAAAGGCUGGCCUGUUUAAAAUGCAGCUCUAAAACUUAGUGAAUAGUUUCUUGUUUAGUGCUUUAAAUUAAAAUAGAAAAGAACAACUGUUGAGACCAUGUAACUCUGGAUUGUAAGACCUAAAGUAGUCCUGUGACUUUUACAUUUUGGCUUUUGUGUUUAACACACAAAAAAUAAUAUCAAACCACCUCGAAUAUAACACUGAAGUAACUGGCUGACAAUGUCAGUGGGCUUUUUCUCAGUCCAAAGUCUUCUUUUCAUUAAUGAAACACUGUGUUUGCUUAUGUCAAUGCAUGAACUUAGUCAUACACAUUAUAGGAUGCCAGGAUAUAUAACAAAGAAUUAAUGAUAAUAUUUUUUAGUAAAAGUGCAUCUUUGGGGGGUUUUCUCUUUGUUCAAAUCCACCCCCCCGUCUCUGUACGAGGGAGCUGCUUUCUUCUUCCUUUCUUUUUUCUUGCCUAUUAAAGUUUUUGCUCCAAAAAAGAAAAAAAAAAGUAAAAGUGCAGCUUUUACUAAUAUGUGAACACAAAAGGUAAUGGCCUGAGUAGCAAAAAAUUCACCUAAGGAAGAAGUAUGUGUAACAUUGAUUAAUAAAUUCUGUGGUAUUUUACUUCCUAUCCCUAACACAUUGAUGUAUUCCAUAAUACUCUGUUUUCUCAAACAGUUAUUUGACUGUGUAACAGAUCUUCCCCUCACUAAAAAUACAUUCUGACUAUAAGCAUAGAAAUGUAAAUCCAUUUCAGAAUAUGAUCUUAUUUCCUUUUUGUGGUAGGGGUGAGUAACACUGUCCAAACUUACAAACUUAAGAGAGAGUCACAGUGGUGGAACAAUUUAUGCACACCCAGUUUAGAUGGAAUGAUUGACAGGAAAUAUGUAAGAAAUUCAAGUUAUUCUUAUGGAGGGAAAAAAGGUCUAUUAUUUUGACAGUUAACAUUUUAAGAUUAAGCACUUUAGAUUAACCAGCAAGGAAAAUGAAAUCGUUUUAAUAGGCCUAUAGUUUGAUGGAUUUAGUUAUUAAAUUAAAUAGACACUAAUUUAAAUGUUACUACUUCAACCCUUAAACAAAGAGAGUUUUAACUGUAUAAAAAGAUGCAAAUAAAAUACCAAGUAGCUUAUAUUUAGGCAGAGAAGAUACUUAAAAUUCAGAAAUGUCAAAACCAGCUUAUUCGUCUCUUGCAAUGUAAUUAAAUGUUUCAGUUUAUUUAUCUUUAGUUUAUCUUAAGUUGUAUGAUGGAUUAAUUGUACUCAGUAAUUGUUUUGCUGUUAAUGGUUUACAUAUUCUUUUUUAUAUUAACAAGUGUUAUUUUAAACAUUUUAUAAAGGAAAGUUUGAAAAGAGUUGUUUAAUAUCACAAAACCCAUUGUGAUCUUUCUCAAGUGAAUUUAUAGAUUUGUUUUUUUGGCUACAUCUUUUGUCUAGUUGUGGGCCUAUAUCACUGAUAAUCCCAUAACACAAGUUAUUAUAUUAAGAGCUGGAAAACUUAUCAGAUGUGAGCUUAUUAGUUAUUCACAAUAAAACAUUAACAGUUUAACAUUUCUCUUCUGGAAAGCUCAACAUGUUUUACGCAGUUGAUUUAUUCAUAUCUCUUAACCAUUUUAUUUGCAGAGUGUUACCUUUGCUAUUUAGAUUUUUAAUAUGCCUAUAAAAGUAGAUUUAUGAUAGAAAAGAUUCUAAAUUACUCAGUUAAAAAUGUAUUCUUUUAUACUUAUUGAACUCUAAUUUUUACGUAAAGUUUUGCAGUUUGUAGUAUGUGAAAUCUUACACUUAAAAAAGACAAUAUUUAGUAUAUUUUUAAUAAAUCACCAUUCAAAAAUGCAUGAUGGAUUGCAUUAGGUUAAGAAGUAUUACCAGAAUAUCUAUUUAUAAUAGAAAACUGUUGCAAUUAUAAUUAUAUGCUAAAUCUAUAUAUUCAUAAAAUAAUUAAGUUAAAAUUAUUUUAAUUUUUAGAUACUUGACAUAGGAGUUCAUAGUUCUCCUGAAUUCUGAAUUAUAUUUCAUCUUCUAAAACUUUCAAAUAAGAUUUAUAUGAUAUAAAUUUUCAUUAAAAAAACUUGGAAUGUUUGACCAUACAGGAAAAGAUAAUUGAAGAAAGACUUACUAAGGAAAUAAAAGUGAAAGUACACUUUGGUCAGGUAUUAAGUCCAGGUAUUAAAAUUAGCAUACCAAAAUACAAAAUUUUAUGUAUAACCUGUUUAUUAAAUCAAAGUAUUUCUAAUGCCUUUCUUUUCUGUUCUUUCAUUUUGAUCCAUAUCGACUUUAAUGCCACGACUGGCUCACUAGAAGAUGAAAAACUCUAAAAGUGCUCACCAUCAGCAUAAAGUGAGGCAUUUUGAGCUCUACUGUGCAAAAUGAAAGCAUAAUAGUCACUGCAAGGAAGACUUAAAGUUCUAUUAUCCUGUCAUUUAUACUUAGAGGCACUUCAGUUUCUGGAAUAGUUUAAACAAAGGAAAUUUGGAAUGGAUUUCUCUUUAAAAUUUUGAAAACCUGGAAUCCUGAGGCUGAAAGACUACGGAAUACCUUCGACCACCUUCCAGAUAAUAUCUGGAUGGAGGAUAAUAUGUGAUGUAAUAAGCUAUAAGUGUCAAGAUAUGUGAGCAUUAAAAAAGGAAGCUGAUUUUGUGAUGCCACUUAUAUCACCUCCACUAAGGGAAUAGGUCAGCACACUGCAACUGAUUUCCCAUUUCUGCAAAACAGUGCAGUUCUGCUUCAGGCUCUGAAUUUGGGAUUUCCUGUUGAAGUCAAAACUAGGUCUAUGCUGUCCUGGGGGGUCAGGAACAAAAUAGGUUGUGAUUAUGGAAACAGUAUCUCUGGGCUCACUGCCAAAUCCUCCAAUACUCCUGGGUGUCAAUUUGACCUAUUAUAAUAGAACCUCACAGGGUGGAACAUCUCCCCUCAAUCCUCAGUCCUGAUAGAUUCUGGGUCCAUAUGUAUGAAGGCUCUAUCUUUAAACGGGUAUCUUUGAAUCAGCAAUAUAAUUGUUUUGAGAGUUUAGUGGUGGAAGAGACUUAAGUGGUCAUUUGGUAAAAUCCAACUUAUUUUAAAGAUGACAAACUGAGCUUAGAGAUAUUACAGUUUUCUUUUUCCAGUAAAAGUCCUGCUGAUAGUAGUAACUCUGAAGUCAUGGAUCAGUUGAGUACACAUGUGGUUUGACCUAUCAAGCAUUUGUCACUACCAUCAUGAUUGUUACUACAAAAGUGAUUAUUAUCAUGAAAAUAUUUCUUCCUCACCUAUAGUUUAUCACUAACUUUCCCAUUAUUUACUUGACCACUGGAUAUCUUAUGGAACUCACUUAAUUUACAAGGUAUUUUAAUGUCUUUAUUUGAAGUAAAUAUAUUGUUCAAAUGUAACAUGACAAACAUUGAAUUCUUUUUCCCUUUAUGAAACACAGAGGCUGGAAGGACAACUCUAUGUCCAGUUAUUAAUGCUAAUAUGUACACUAACAUUAAAAAUAACUGAUUUUCACAUUCAGUGCAUCUACUUGUUGGCAUUCACAUGAUGUCACAAUCCCCUCCUUUUCUGUGUAAAUCUGAUUAAGGGGCUUCUCCUGCCAUUAUUUUGCACGCAAAACUUCGUUCCAUUUUGACAACAAUCCUCUUUACACAAGGACCUAAGGGUUGAACACUGAAAGUACCUAACCAUUACUGUAUAUUGAAUCAUGUCUUUUCACAUAAAAUUGCAAAUAUGGUUUGAGAGCCAAUUUCCAGAUUACUCUGGUUGAGUAGGACUAAUUACUUUUAAACUGGGUGCAGCCAGGGUCUGCCAAAACAGUGCUGAAUUCUUCCAAUCAUAGGCGAGCUCUACCCAUCCUGAGAUUGUCUCAUACUGAAGUGCUGUAAGAUUAUUCAUGCUUGUAGUAGUAAUGAUUAACUAUAAAAAUAAUGCCAAUUGCAGAUGAUCGUAAUAACAGCAGCUAUAGUUUAUUGAAUGCCUACCAUGGGGCAGGCAUGGUAUAUAGUAUCUAUUAUCUCGUUUCAUUUCCUCCUGAAAACAAUCUUAUGUGAGGUAUUAUUAUUAUUAUUUUCUAAAUUUUGUUUAAAAACUGAGUUCCCAGAGAUGAGUCUGAGAAAAACAUCAGUUUGCGAAGUAGUAGACUUGAGUUCUAUUCCUGCUUUUACCACUAGCUGAAAUGUGACUAUAGGUUCAACACUUAGUACCUCAUUUCCCUCCUCUACAGAAUUAGUUCAUAGAACUAGCUUUAACUUUCUGUGACUUUUAAAAAGCUCAAAGCAGUUUAUUAUUUUUUUGAGAAAGAAAAUCUUUUUUAAAGCAUUCAUAGUAACAGUAUCACUGAACAGUAUUUUUCUGGUAUUUCCCACAUUCUCAUCCGAUUUCAUGGCUUCAAACACAGAACAAAAUCCUCAUUAAUAUAAAAGGAAGUCCAUAUUCUGACCAGAUCAGUGAAGCACAGAGAAAGAUAUGAAAUUCACUUACAAUGGGUCAGACUCUUACAAAGUUUGAAUUUAGCAACAUGAAUUUAUUAUGCUGCAUAUAUAAAAAAUUAAAUGGAUGAUGUGAAGCAAGGUGGGAAUCUACAAGCAUAAAGGAUAUUUACUGUAUGUGUGAUGAAGCAUAAAAAUACAUUUUUCUCCUUCAAAAAGCAAAAUGUUGGAUAUAUUCACAUAAAACACCUUAGGCUAUAUCAAGAACACUAUACUUAAGUACAUUUACAUACUAUUUAUGUAAAUGUAUUGACUUAAUCAUAGCAGCUCUAGGGAUUCAUGAUAAGCUGUGAAAAUUGUCUAUAAAAGAUAAAUGAAUGACCCUUUAAAAUAGAAUAAAAAUUAAGUAUAGCACACCAGCAAUUUUAAGCACAUAUACGUACCAUUCUGAAAAUCUGUGCUUUUGCAAUGUUAGCAGUUCCUUAUAUAGUUCUCAUAGUGAUGCAUCCACAUCACAUAUACAGUCUCCUAAACAUAUUGUAUUUUUCUUAGAACAUCAAACACCAUUAUGUCCCAUGUCAAUUUUGUAAUAUUUUGAAAGAACAAAAUAUGGUAUAGUAAGCUGACAUAUUUUCCUUCAUUGAAAUAUUCUUUUGUGUGUAAACUUUUUACAGAUUUUUCUCACCAUUUUCUCCUUUUCUAAAGUUGACAAAAAUGUAAAUGAUGGCAAAGUGGAAAGAAUUAUCACUUCUUUCCAAAGUUACUACUCUGUGCUCUCAUACUGCUAUUGUGUAAAUAUUGACUAAAUUUCACAAUUGUUGUAUCUGAAAUAAUAAUAAAUAAUUGCUCCCACUUGGAAAAUAGGAUUUUUUCCACACAUAUACGAAUAUGUCACUUGCCCAUUGUGAGCAAGUAAGCAAUAAAAAGUAUGGUUAAGUUUUAUUUCACUCAUUUAUUUAUUGAACAUUUAUUUAUUGAGCUCUACUAUUUGCCGGGCACUAUGCAAGGCACUGAAUGGCGUUGCUAAAAAAAAAAAAAGACAAAGUUGAUACCUAAAUGAAGCUUACAGUAUGAUGAGAGAGAUGCAAAAACAAAUCAAUAAAGAGAAUCAGUGAUUACAAAUAGAGAAAACUUUCAUAGAGGAAGUUAACACCCAAGGAGAUAGAGAUAAAUUAGGGAGGCCAAUUUAGAUAAGGUAGAAUGAGGAUCUUUCUGAGAUACUAAAAGAUAAAAAUAAAACUAAUGCGUGAUGAAGAGUGUUCUAAGCCAUGGUAAUUUCAAGUACAGAGACAUUGAAACAUAUCAAAAUAUUUUAUGAAUACAUUCUCUGCUUUGUCCUUCAGUUUCAUUAAUGAGCAUGAUUCUCAGGAAAAUUCAAACUCUUUGUGCAAAGAUUUGCCAAAGAGAUAUCAGGCAUUUUUGAAAAGCUGUAGUAAUUUGGAAAAAUAAAGAAAUUACUCUUUAAAAAUAGCUUUCAGAGGGGAAAAUACUUAAUACUUAAAAUAUUAUUCUUCACUGGAUAUAAUGUUUUUAAGAAACUUCAAUCUCUUAUAGCAAUGAUCUCUGAACUUUCUGUGUUUGUAAUAGCAUGUGGGAAAGAUCAAGGUGUUUUUAUACAGUGUGAAUCUUAUUCUGAUGAUUUUUUGUCCUUAGCAUAGUAACUGUUUCUUAUUUAUUUCUUCUUAUUCUCAAUAAAUGCGUUGGAUUUCCAAAAUAUAUGCUAUAUUUGAGGAAGUCAGAAAAAAUAGAAGUUAUUUGUCAAAAAUACCUUAUUUUUAUGUGAACUCAUCAUUUUAGAAAAAAAAGUACAUGGAUCAGCUCAAAGACUGAUUUAAUGAAGUAUCCUAUCAUUGGGUUAUACAUAGGUGCUAGUUAGAGAGUGCAUUAUUUUGUCUUGAAAUAUUUACAUUGCAAAAAUAAAUUAAAGAAUGUUUUCUAAAGCCAUUUUAGAUUUUUUUAUGAAAGUAUACUUUGAUCAAUUGACACAAAAAUUCAUGAUAAUGGCAUCAUAUACUUACAUAACUCCAUAACAAAUAAAAAAUAAAAGAAAUUUUGUGUGAUUUUAUGUACAUAAUGUAAGGAUGUGUCUUUUUUUGGCCAUUCUGAAAUUUUAUUUGAUUCAAAUAUUCUUAAUUGACUGGUACUGAGUGACAAGAAUUAAAUAAAAAUUGAAUUAGUUUAAUAACUUUGCAUUUCCUGAUUAAAUGAUAAUGCUACCAGAUGUAAACUAAAACUGGUAUAUUCUAUUAAUCUUUAGCUUAGUACUUGGAGGGGGUACCACUCAAUCUUCAGAAUGAUUCCUACAGGUAUAAUUCUCAUUUAUUUAUUGAGACAAGGUCUCACUCUGUCCUCCAGGCUGGAGUGCAGUGGUGUGAUCAUAGUUCACUGCAGCCUCCAACUCUUGAGAAUAAGUAAUCCUCCUGACUUGGCCUCCAACAGCGCUGGGAUUCCAGGCAUGAGGUAUCAUGCCUGGCCUCUAAUUCUCACUCAAAUACUACUCUACAGCACAAGUAUCAGUUAAAUAUCAUUUUCAAUCAGUUCUGAAAUAAAUUUAAAGCUUAACAGGAAGCCAAACCAUCUCUUCUGAGAUAGAUGUAACACAAUCCAAAUCCACUUUGAAGAAGAUAAAUUCUAGAGCAAGGAUUUUGUAAAAGUUGGAGAUAAAAAGAAUUUCUCAGUAAGCUUCUAAAAUAAGACAUGCAAUAAUAGUUUAACUUAAAGGCUAAAGCUUGAAAGACAAAGCUAAAUUCUGGUCACAUGCUAGAGGUCGUAAAAUAAAGCUUUGCCCAAAGAAUGAAUAGACACCAGAUUACAGUCAUGAAUGUCUCUUCCAUUUUUACAUAGUAUUUAGAAGAAGGGAACAAUUCAUUCAGAUACACUUUAUACAGGUAUUACACAAAUGAACUAAGUUGAAAAUUAUGUUUCAGUUUCAGUUAAGGUUUACUGUUAAGGUUUUGAGCCAGCUAGACGUAUUUCUACUUACACAACAAAUGAUGUCAUUGAAUAUACCUUAGUAAUUCUUGUGUGAAAGAUCAAAUGAAGCAAAUUUUUAUAUGCAGAUAGUACCUGAGGAAAAUAUGAAGGUGUCAUCGACAUGGAACCCACCUGGAAGACUAGGGGUCUUUCCAUAGUUUCAUAUUUCCUUAUGAAGACCUUAUGGUACCUAUGACAUCAAAUGUAAUUAUUGAUUCCCAGACCUAUGUCUUCUUCAUGCAGAAUUCCGUGCAUACACAAUUUUGGAUAACUAACACUGUAAAGGGUCUCUUCUAAAUCUCUGGUAGAGACUCGGUAACUGUGAAAUGAAAGGAUAAAUGAAUCAAUGAGAAGAGAAAAUGAGGAAAUGUAACCAAGAUAAAAUUAAAAUCAGCUACACAUAAAACAGGAGCUGAGUAGAGGGGAAAAACGAUUUUCUUUCAUCCUAUUUACCAAAACAUGGAGAAAUGGAGGCUGUUAAAUGAUACAUUAAGAAACUAUAAAUUUUUGGUGCUCCAAAAUUCAUUAAAGUUUGGCAUGCUUUGGUAGGGAGGCAAAAAAAAGAGGGUGAUAAACCAUGAUUUCCUUUAAGCAUGCUUUAUAUAUUCACAUAAGGAUAUACAUCACCAUUGUCUUACAUCUAUACACUGUUGCCUCAGAUCACAUCUAUCUUGUGGUGUCAUUAUGAUCUUAUUCAAUUUACACUAAUUGAUCCUUAUAGCCAUGUUGGUCUGCCUCAUUUUUCUGCAGAAAUUUAAUCUCAUAUGCUUUUUAAUUUCAACAGUUGUCCUUCAAGGAACAAAGAUGGUCUGUAUGCAAGGAUGCUGUUUCCGCUAAAAUGUCAUCUUAGCCAAUAUAGAAGGGUAAAAAUAGAAACAAUUUUGGAUAACUAACACUGUAAGAGUAGCCAUCUGCUUCUUAGAAAGAUAUAAAUGUGUUUUCUUAUUUCUUUCCUCAAACUAAUCCAAAAGAUUUCAUUCCUGAAAUCUGAGAUUAUGUUAUUUCCCCAAUUGAAAUUUCUGAUAUUUUAUGACCGAAUAAUGAACUUGCAAAUACCUUGGAUGAACUUUAAAUAACCCAUCAAAUGUUGUUGAUGGAUACUACAUAGAAUGAUCCAGCAGCCAUCUGGAGACCCGUUGGACGAUCAAGCUACCAUUUUCCAGAUUGAGAAAGCAAUCAAAAUGAGGAAAAUGGGAAGAGUACCACACCAGAUGGUAUUCCAGCUGAACUAUACAAGUGUGGGUACACAGCAAAUAGUGAAUACUUUCACCACUUGUUCAAAACCAUAUGGACAGAGAUAAAUGCAGAUAUUUGAGGGACACCUAUUUCUUAAGAGAACAAAAGAGGGGAUAUCUUAGGGUACUAAGAGCUACUGUGUUAACUGACAGGAGGUAGCUGACUUAAAUUUUGUUAAGUUCUCUGUUUUCUAAAAUAAUUUACUUUAGAAUAUUAUAAUCACAACAAUGUCCUAAAACUUAAAAAAGUAUAAUUCAUGAAAUAGUAAAAUAAAAGUAAUUUAGAAAAUAUUUGAAACAUAUUGAGUUAAUUUCAACUGAAUUUAUUUUUCUUAAGUCAAAGUUAAUAAAAAUGCAAACACUCUAAAUUGUAAUGUAAAUCUCACAACAUUAGAAUAUUUGAGAUCAUGGUUACUUUUAAAUUUUUCAAUGGAAUAAAGCAACCUAAAACACAAAAUUUGUUGAAAAGUCCACUAUUUAGAAUUAUUUGGAUUAUAGUAUUAUGUAACACUCACUUAUUUCUAUCACUAAGAAACAUCCUAAUCUCAUAGAUGCUAUAGGCAAGAUUUUGUUUUGUUUUGUUUUUCAUGGGUUUUUUUGCAGAAUGGGGUCUCUGUAAAAUAUAGCAAAUUAUUUAUUUGCUACUUAUUACAAAAAGUCUUGGGCAGGCUCCAGCAAAACAGGGGACUCUAUAAAGAUAUAUUCUUGCAUGAUUUUAACCUCUGAAACAUAUAUCAGUACCAACUUUACUAAUUGUGCACCCCAUGCAAAUAUUAGAAACCUCAGCUAAGACAGCAGACCUCUGAAGUAGAUAUGAAAUAAAUGUAUGCGUAAAGACAAGAUACAGGCCGGGUGCAAUGGCUCAAGCCUGUAAUCCCAGCACUUUGGGAGGCCAAGGCAGACGGAUCACCUGAAGUCAUGAGUUUGAGACCAGCCUGGCCAACAUGCUGAAACUCCCGUCUCUACUAAAAAUACAAAAAAAUUAGCCAGGUGUGGUGACGGACACCUGUGGUCCCAGCUACUUGGGAGGCUGAGGCAGGAGAAUCGCUUGAACUCGGGAGGUGGAGGUUGCAGUGACCUGAGAUCAUGCCACUAUGCUCCAGCCUGGGUGACAGAGCAAGACUCUGUCUAAAAAAAAAAAAAGAUAUAGGAGCAUUUGAUUUUUCCUUAUCUAUGUUAGUUACUUCUUCCUACUAAGAAUUUUAUGACGAAGCUGCUUGGAAUGCUUACUAUAAAUGAUAUGUAGAGAUAACUCCAAUAAUAAUUGAGUCAAUGAAACUUUGUAAACCCAUGCUGUCUUUUGCAGAAUAUGUUAGCAUGCAAUACUACACUUAUCUCAUCUACAUUGGUGUAGACUACAAGCUACAGGAAACAGAUAGGAAGCUUCUAGAGGUAAUUUUCAGAGAUAGUAUCUUAGAAACAUGUAUAAAUGAUUGUUCGAAUGCUAUGCAAACAACUGAAAUCCCACAUUUAACUUUACAGGAAAGAAAGAAGUCAGAAAUAUGCUCUCCCACACACAUACUGUCAACAUUUCUUAAAGCAAACACCCCAAACCAAUUGUAAGUAAAAAUUUGAAACCCCAAAGUGAUAAAGUCUAAUUUAUUUUUAUACUACGACUACCUCGAUUUUAAUGGUGUUAUUAUUCUAAUGUCAAAAAUGUAUGGAGCAUUUUCCAUGUGCCAGGCACAAUGCUCAGCUUAAAUGGAGUGUUUAAUUCUCAAUCCACUCUGUGAGAUUGGCAUUAUUAUUUUUUUCCAUUUGAUAUAUAGAAAACAGUCCCAAGAGAAAACAUUAGAAUUGUCAGAGCAUGGCUUUGCAAAAAGCAAUCUGACUGAAGAGCACUUUUUGAACUUCAUCACCAUGCUAUACUGCUUCCUUUGGAAUAAUCCACCUAAAACAUUCUAGUGCUAAUUAUUUUUCAAAAUGAAGAAAGCACAUUUAAAAGGAGUCAUGUCUGCUUUUUGGUAACUAACAUUAAGAUUUAGUUACUUCUGUAUGAAAUUUUAUACAACUGAUUUCUCCUAAGAGUUUGGUAAAAAAAUUAAUGUGUCUAGAGUUCCUGGCAUAUGUAAAUCAUAUUGUUCUUUCAAGAAAGUUAACUUUAGUGUUAUUUUAACUCAUAAACUGAUCAAUAAAUUCCUAUGGUGUUUUAUUUUUGUUUAUUUUUUGUUUUGUUUUGUUUGUUUUUUGUUUGCUUUUUUAUUUUUUUAUUUUUUAUUUUUUUGAGACAGAGUCUCACUCUGUCGCCCAGGUUGGAGAGCAGUGGUGUGAUCUUGGCUCACUGCAACCUCCCUCUCCUGGGUUCAAGCAAUUCUCCUGCCUCAGCCUCCCGAGUAGCUGGGACCACAGGUGCCCACUACCACGCCCAGCCAAUUUUUUGUAUUUUUAGGAAAGAUGGGGUUUCACCAUGUUGGCCAGGAUGGUCUCAAACUCCUGACCUCAGGUGAUCUGCCUGUCUUGGCCUCCCAAAGUGCUUGGAUUACAGGCAUGAGCCACCACGACCAGCCACAUUCCUAAGGUAUUUUAACAUUCACAUGAAGUAUUUCUUCACAGGAGAUAUACUGAUAAUUUCUAGGUCUAUAUGAAUAACUUAUAUUACAGAUCUGGAGAACCUAUUCAAGCAUCAGAGUCAAUAGAAGUCAUGGAAAUUAAUCAAAAUAUUGGCAACCAUGAAAAUGUAGAGAUUAAGACAACUUCUUCAUGUUUAAAUGGGUGGAAUCACUUAUUCAAAUAUUAACUCUUUCCACCUGGAGAGCUGAAUUCCAGCUAUGAAUGAGAAAAGCACAUAUGAAUUGGAUUGAAUAAAAUUAAUAUUUUAUGAUAGGGAGAUAUUAUUACACUGAUGAACUAAAAAAAGUCUACUACAACCAUGAAGGGAUGUGCUUUUUAAUUUAUAAAAUCUACCUUUACCAGCUGAAAAACCAAGAAAGAAACCACUUUUGUGUCAUAUCUAGCUACUUUGCAUGCAGAUGCUAAGGUCUGUGGUACUCCACUUCUCGACUUGUGACUAUGUGUAUGUUGACAAUUGACAUCCUGAGUACAGUUGGGGCAGAGGUCUUAGAUCUGACUCUUGCCUCAUAAACCGACAGUCAAAUUUGUUCUUAGCAUGUAAAGUCAGAUAAUGGGUGUGUUUAGGGACUUUUCUCUUUCUUUUUCUAAGCUUCUAUUAUUCAUGGAAACAAUAUUCUCCAAGAUCACAUAGGGGAGAAAAUUCUUAUAUGUUCUAUGUUAACUGUAAGUAACAGUCACACUUCCCUAACUUAUGAAAACCUAAAGACUGCUUCUCUGAGCAGCCUUUUCCCUCCCACUUCUCUAUUGCAAGCUUUUAUAGAAUUAGACUUUUGAUGACAUAAAAAAUAUACUCUAAGUUAUUCUUGACAUCUAUUUCCUUUAAUGAUAAAAUGAAUGACUUUAUGAUGCUUGACUGCUCUGUAAGGUGCUAUAUAAAUGCUAAGUAUUUAUUUGUAAAGUAUAUAAACACAAACACACACAGCCAACAUCUGCUGGUUUUAUGUAGAUAUAGUGUGAAAAACUGUAAAAUUUAUAUUCAAAUUUUGAAACAUUUCCCAAAUUGUUACAAUUACAUACUUGGUCAGAGUAAUUCAAGUUCAAUAAAUCUUUCAGAUUUCUAGUAUUAAAAAAACUUUUCCCCCUUUUGCUAUAGUGUUAAUUUAAAAUAAAUGACCAAUUAUUUCUAAUAAUGAAACUUUUUUUCAAAAGCAGAAGAAAAUAGCUUUUGGGUAUUUUUAAAAAAUAAUCCACAUUGUAUACAUACAUAAAUACACACAUAUACAUCUAUUAUCUUUCAUUUUGUUAUGGUACAAACACAAUGUAAGAUAUAACUCUUACAAAUUUUUCAGUGUAUAAUACAGUAUUGUUAG
rnacentral:lncRNA from 1 species